rnacentral:rRNA from 1 species
UACAGAGGGUGCGAGCGUUAAUCGGAGUUACUGGGCGUAAAGGGCGCGUAGGCGGUUCGAUAAGUGAUAUGUGAAAUCCCUGGGCUUAACCUAGGAACUGCAUGUCAUACUGUUGAGCUAGAGUAUUGUAGAGGGUAGUGGAAUUUCCGGUGUAGCGGUGAAAUGCGUAGAGAUCGGAAGGAACACCAGUGGCGAAGGCGGCUACCUGGACAAAUACUGACGCUGAGGCGCGAAAGCGUGGGGAG